rnacentral:rRNA from 1 species
AACGAACGCUGGCGGCAGGCCUGACACAUGCAAGUCGAGCGGAUCCUUCGGGAUUAGCGGCGGACGGGUGAGUAACGCGUGGGAAUAUGCCCUUCUCUACGGAAUAGCCUCGGGAAACUGGGAGUAAUACCGUAUACGCCCUACGGGGGAAAGAUUUAUCGGAGAAGGAUUAGCCCGCGUUGGAUUAGGUAGUUGGUGGGGUAAUGGCCUACCAAGCCUACGAUCCAUAGCUGGUUUGAGAGGAUGAUCAGCCACACUGGGACUGAGACACGGCCCAGACUCCUACGGGAGGCAGCAGUGGGGAAUCUUAGACAAUGGGGGAAACCCUGAUCUAGCCAUGCCGCGUGAGUGAUGAAGGCCUUAGGGUUGCAAAGCUCUUUCAGCUGGGAAGAUAAUGACGGUACCAGCAGAAGAAGCCCCGGCUAACUCCGUGCCAGCCGCCGCCGUAACAC